CUCAGGAACCACCAAGACCAAGGCCAUCGACAGGAAGGUCAACGAUGGCGAGUGGUACCAUGUCGACUUCCAGAGGGACGGGCGCUCAGGUACUAUCUCAGUGAACUCACAGCGUACAGCGUACACCGCUCCAGGGGACAGUGAGAUUCUAGACCUGGAUGAUAUCCUGUACCUGGGAGGAUUACCGGAGGACCGCCAAGGACUCAUCUUUCCUACUGAGGUGUGGACAGCGUUGUUGAACUAUGGAUAUGUGGGCUGUGUGAGAGACCUGUUUGUGGACGGUCAGAGUAAAGACAUCCGUCGUCUGGCUGAGGCUCAGAGGGCUGUAGGGGUGAAACCUUCCUGCUCCAGAGAGCCCCCUAAACAGUGUCUGUCCAACCCCUGCCAACACAGCGCCACCUGCAGGGAGGGCUGGAACAGAUAUGUGUGUGACUGCUCUGGGACCGGAUACCUGGGACGGGCCUGUGA